AGACUGUCGGCAGCGCGUGAAGCCACUGAGAGCUGCGCCACGGUGAGGCAGGGUACGGCACGGGAGCACAGAGGAGGACUGGACCGGGUGAAUGCAGUCCUCGGCACGGGACGCUGCUGCAGACACUUUCCCACUAUUUUCGGACAUAACGGGAGGCGCACAGUAACCACGCGGGGAAGAGGAAUUUGGCUACAAAAUUUCCGUCGUGAAGGAAAUCUUAAUAGGGGCCGAGAAGUGAAAGGGACACGUUACACCUCUGUCAGUAGCUGCCGAUAGCUAUCCGAGCUGACAAAGUCCUCGUUGCUCUAAAAGUCCUCACAGGGUAGGAAGCCACAAGGUAUCCUCCACCGGUGUCCUCGGGUACAGCUGAGUGAGAAGGAGCCGUCUAUCCGCCAUGGAGAACGCUCACACGAAGAGUGUGGAAGAAGUUUACAGUUAUUUCAGCGUCAAUGAAAGCACAGGACUUUCCCUGGACGAGGUGAAACGACAGCGGGAGAAAUGGGGCCUAAACGAGUUACCAGCGGAGGAAGGGAAAUCUUUAUGGGAGCUCGUCCUCGAACAGUUUGAAGAUUUGCUCGUUCGAAUUCUUCUGCUGGCUGCAUGCAUAUCUUUUGUCCUGGCCUGGUUUGAGGAGGGAGAGGAAACUAUCACCGCAUUUGUGGAGCCUUUUGUAAUUCUACUCAUUCUUAUAGCAAACGCUAUCGUCGGCGUGUGGCAGGAGCGCAAUGCUGAAGACGCCAUUGAGGCGCUUAAAGAGUAUGAACCUGAGAUGGGGAAAGUGUACCGACAGGACAGGAAAACUGUGCAGAGGAUCAAGGCCAGAGACAUCGUGCCUGGUGACAUAGUGGAGGUUGCUGUUGGAGACAAGGUGCCCGCUGACAUCCGCAUCUGUUCAAUCAAAUCCACGACCCUCAGGGUAGACCAGUCCAUCCUGACUGGUGAAUCUGUCUCUGUCAUCAAACACACCGACCCUGUGCCUGACCCUCGCGCCGUCAAUCAAGACAAGAAGAACAUGCUCUUCUCUGGUACCAACAUUGCAGCAGGGAAGGCUGUGGGUGUGGUUGUUGCCUCUGGCGUUAACACAGAAAUUGGUAAGAUCCGUGACGAGAUGGCAGCCACGGAGCAGGAGAAGACACCCUUGCAGCAGAAGCUGGAUGAAUUCGGCGAACAGCUAUCCAAGGUCAUUUCCAUUAUCUGCAUCGCCGUGUGGAUCAUCAACAUCGGACACUUCAAUGACCCCGUCCACGGAGGCUCCUGGAUCCGUGGAGCUGUCUACUAUUUCAAGAUCGCUGUGGCGCUGGCUGUGGCUGCCAUCCCUGAAGGUCUUCCCGCUGUCAUCACCACCUGCCUGGCCCUGGGCACUCGCCGCAUGGCCAAAAAGAACGCCAUCGUCCGCAGCCUGCCCUCUGUGGAGACUCUGGGCUGCACCUCUGUCAUCUGCUCUGACAAAACAGGAACCUUGACAACCAACCAGAUGUCUGUUUGCAGAAUGUUCAUUAUCAACAAAGCUGAAGGGGACAGCUGCUCUCUGUCAGAGUUCACCAUCACAGGUUCUACCUACGCCCCCGAGGGUGAAGUGUACCAGGAUGGUAAACCAGUGAAAUCCUCCCAGUAUGAUGCUUUGGUUGAAUUGGCCACAAUCUGUGCCCUGUGCAAUGAUUCCUCGCUGGACUUCAACGAGGUGAAGGGGGUGUACGAGAAGGUCGGCGAGGCCACGGAGACCGCGCUGACCUGUCUGGUGGAGAAGAUGAAUGUCUUCGACACUGAAGUUCACAACCUGUCAAAGAUUGACAGAGCCAAUGCUUGCAACUCAGUGAUCAAACAGCUGAUGAAGAAGGAGUUCACCCUGGAGUUCUCAAGAGACCGGAAGUCCAUGUCUGUCUACUGCAGCCCAAACAAGUCCCGCUCUACCAUGGGCAAAAUGUUUGUGAAGGGAGCCCCAGAGGGAGUCAUCGAGAGAUGCACUCAUGUCAGAGUUGGCAACAGCAAAGUUCCCCUCAGCCAAGGCAUCAAGGAAAAGAUCAUGUCUGUUAUCCGUGAGUACGGGACAGGUCGCGACACCCUGAGGUGCUUGGCUCUGGCCACACGAGACAGCCCACCAAAAAUGGAGGACAUGAUAUUGUCUGACACUGCCAAAUUCAUCGAGUAUGAGUCUGACCUGACGUUUGUCGGCUGUGUCGGCAUGCUGGACCCUCCCAGACAGGAGGUAGCUGCUUCUAUCAAACUGUGCCGGCAGGCUGGCAUCCGCGUCAUCAUGAUCACCGGGGACAACAAGGGCACAGCUGUGGCUAUCUGCCGCCGCAUCGGCAUCCUGACCGAGGAGGACAAUACUGAGCACAUGGCUUUCACUGGACGGGAGUUUGAUGAGCUCACACUCGAUGCCCAGAGGGAGGCUGUGACCCGUGCGCGCUGCUUUGCGCGCGUGGAGCCUUCACAUAAAUCCAAGAUCGUUGAGUUCCUGCAAGGAUUCGAUGAAAUCACUGCUAUGACCGGUGACGGGGUGAACGAUGCCCCUGCGCUGAAGAAGGCAGAGAUCGGCAUCGCUAUGGGCUCUGGCACUGCCGUGGCCAAGUCAGCCUCUGAGAUGGUCCUCGCUGAUGACAACUUCUCUUCCAUAGUGGCCGCCGUUGAAGAAGGCAGAGCUAUUUACAAUAACAUGAAGCAGUUCAUCAGAUACCUUAUCUCUUCCAACGUGGGUGAGGUCGUCUGCAUCUUUCUCACUGCGGCUCUGGGGUUCCCUGAGGCCCUGAUUCCUGUCCAGCUGCUCUGGGUCAACCUGGUGACAGACGGCCUCCCUGCCACCGCCCUUGGCUUCAACCCCCCAGAUCUGGACAUUAUGGAGAAGCCUCCUCGCAAUGCUAAGGAGCCCCUGAUUUCUGGCUGGCUAUUCUUCAGAUAUCUGGCUAUUGGAGGCUACGUAGGUGCUGCCACUGUGGGAGCUGCUGCGUGGUGGUUUACAAUCUCUGAUGAUGGACCGCAGGUCACUCUGUACCAGCUGAGCCACUUCCUCCAGUGUGCCCCAGACAACCCAGAGUUUGAUGGCUUGGACUGCCACGUGUUUGAGUCACCCUACCCGAUGACCAUGGCCCUCUCUGUGCUUGUCACCAUUGAGAUGUGCAAUGCUCUGAACAGCCUGUCAGAGAACCAGUCCCUGCUGCGGAUGCCUCCCUGGGAGAACAUUUGGCUGCUAGGGGCCAUCUGUCUCUCCAUGUCUCUCCACUUCCUCAUCCUCUAUGUGGAACCUCUGCCUGUCAUCUUCCAGAUCACCCCUCUGGAUAUGACCCAGUGGUUGAUGGUGCUGAAGAUCUCGAUGCCCGUCAUUCUCCUGGACGAGCUGCUUAAGUUUAUGGCCAGGAACUACUUGGAAUUCGGUAAACAACUGGAGAAGCCGACAAGCAAAGGCUGCUCUCUGUCUGCAUGCGCCGAGGGAAUCUCCUGGCCCUUUGUGGCCAUCUCCCUGCCCCUGGUGCUGUGGAUCUACAGCACCGACACUAACGUGUCUGCCAUCUUGUGGCCCUGACUGACUCCAGUACACUACCCUCCUUGUGCACCAGUGUGAAGUGGACAUUAACGCACACAUCUAACACAGUUACAUUAACUCAGAACAAAUUACAGCAACAGCAUUUACACCUUCUCCAACCGCUGUCAGAACGCCUCUGUUAAGUACAUUUAGACUUGCACAUAUUUUUGGGUGGCCGGUGCUCGAGUAAUAUUUUACCGACAUGAUUUAUGUUCCAUGUUACCGUUGUGCUUUUCUCUGUUUUGACCCCCUUUGAGAAUAGCUAGAGAAGCCCACUGCGUUGGAGCGACAUGUUGAGCUGUACAGAGAGAAUUUAUUUACUAUUCUGUAAUAAUUAAUAUUUUAUAAUUUGGGGAAUGGAGAUUUCUGAGGACUGCGUAGUUUAGUUCAAUACUAAUUUAGGGGCAAAGACUUUCAGCGGAAUACAUUUGCCCAAGCAUGAAUCACAGUUGAAGUCCGUGCAUCGUACUCAUUCAUUAUUUUCUGCAUUAGGCAGAGCACAGCUACCUCAGUGCUGCUGAUUUGACCAUAAUGACCCAUUUGUCCAAGCUGUCAUUUCAUAUGUGAUCAUUUGAAGUGUUGAGGUAAGCACCAGUAGAGUCAAAAUCUUCACAUGUAUUUUAAUGUGCAUAUAUAUAUAGAGAGCGAGAUAUAUCGAUAUAUCUAUCUAUAUAUAGAUAUAUCUAUCUAUAUCUAGAUAUAGAUCUAGAUAUUGAUCUAUAUCUAGAUAUAGAUAGAUAGAUAUUUUUUUGUGUUCCUCUGUUAUUUGAGGGAAGAGGGGACAAAGACAUGUUACCAGCUUGAUUUUGAGUAAAUUCUUGGUACAGCCUGUUGUUAAAUUUAUUUACUUGAAGAAAACACAUUUGUCUGUGUUGUGUGUGGGGGGGGAUGUUUUUGGGUUGUUGUUGUUUUUUUUUUUGUUUGUUUGUUUUUUUAAAGUUAAAUCGUUGAGAUUCAUUCUAAGUUUUCAGUCCUAAUUUUGUGUGUUAACGACAGUAAUCUUUAUGUAUGUAAAAUGUGCACAUACUGUACUUGAAUAUGUAAAAAGGCACCAAGAAGCUGUUAGUCUUGCAAACUGAGCACAACGUGGACGGUUUGAUAGGCGCUCAGACCUCUGAUUGGCUGCUGUCGGAGGCGUUUGUAUAUCUGUACAUAGAACACGACAUAGACUCUAUACAUUUCAUUUCUUCCUGCAUACAUUCACACCCGUUUACUCAAGCGUAGCCUUUCUGCAUGCGCGCUCCGAUAGACCAGAGAGUGUUUUUUUGUUUUUUAAUUUGAAAAGCUAACUGUUGUUUCUUCCCACGCCUUCCCCCUAUUUACCUGCAGACAAAUCCCAAGUAAGCCCAUCUCUCCUGUAAAUUCCUAGCAGAAACUUUGGUUUGGUUUUGUGUUGUGCAUGUGUGUUUUUCAGCACAUCUUACAAGAGCUGAAUGCCAGUGAAGUGAUGACAGGGGCUCAGAAAGUUCACGCAUCAUUUUUACAGAAUGCCCAUAAAUGAAUGUCUGAUGGAAACUAGCCAGUUCCGCCUCAUCGGUCCUUCCAUCCUCCUGCAUGAAGAGCCUUAGAUUGCCAUACAAUCCUCAUGCCUUCAUUUUAGACUAAGAGCUUAGUACCUUGUACAGUCAGUUGUACAUUAUUCUAUGGUGCAUGUCUGCUCAGUCAGCCAUCUGUUUUACCAGACAAAUGUAAUAGAUUAUGUAUAAGUUCAAAAACACAGUUCAUCUUUCCUAAGGAAAUACUUUUAUGAGAUAAUAGAUUUUUCUUUUUGCUUUACACUGAGAUGAGCAGAUUUUUUGCCAAAUCUGGGAAGGCAGGUGUGCAGCGAUGCUGAUGUUUUACCCUUUUAACGGCAGGCGGUCCCUCCACUGGCAUUUUUUGCCAAACUGCUGUACUGUAUUUUCAGAAAUGAUUGUACAACGUAUCACAUGGACUUUGGUUUCAGGUAAAUAAAAUUAAAACUGUCAUACACUAA